rnacentral:rRNA from 1 species
UACGAAGGGGGCGAGCGUUGUUCGGAUUUACUGGGCGUAAAGGGCGCGCAGGCGGCGUAUCAAGUCAGGCGUGAAAGCCCCGGGCUUAACCUGGGAGGUGCGUCUGGGACUGGUGUGCUAGAGUUCGGGAGAGGAGAGUGGAAUUCCCGGUGUAGAGGUGAAAUUCGUAGAUAUCUGGAGGAACACCAGUGGCGAAGGCGGCUUCCUGGCCUGUAACUGACGCUGAGACGCGAAAGCGUGGGGAGCGAACCGG